AUUGCUUCUUGGCCUUUUGGCUAAGGUCCAGCAUAGUAUCUGCAUCAGUUUAAUAACUGAUAUGUCCUUUAGCUGAGGACAAUAUAUUAAAUGGGUUUCGGGAACAGAGAGAUGAAUAGAUACUUUCUCCCUCUCAGAGGUAUUGUACUACCUCUGAGAAUAGGGUACCCCCU
rnacentral:snRNA from 1 species